rnacentral:lncRNA from 1 species
CCCUCGUCCUCGGCCCGCCGAGGCUCCCUCCCCGUCCUCCUUCAGGCCAGCGGGGGACGCCGGGGGGGGCCCCCGACCGCCCGCCGCCCCGCCUGGCUCCGGCGCAUCCACCGGCGGGGUCCCGGGGCACGGCGGCGGGCGGCGGUGCCGGCAGCCCCCGUGCCGCCCUGCCGAGGGGGGCGGCGGCGCCGGGAGAGCUCCGGUAACCGGGAGAGCCCCGGCGGCAGGGAGAGAGCGAACCCCGGCAACUUCGAGGCGGCGGCGGCGGGGGUCGCGCACCGCUCCUCCCGGCGCCCUCAGCCCCGCAGAGGCUCCUUCGGCGGCUCCGUCCUCGGCGGCUCCGUCCUCGGCUGCCCCCUCCGCCGUCCCCGCCGCGCGGGGCCCCGCAUCCCCGGCCGGACGCAGCGCCGAGGGGCUUCAGUUUGCCAUGGCGGAGGGUCCUGCCCCGCCGCCGUGGGCGGGGAGGGGAGAGGAGAGGAGAGCAGAGCAGAGCAGAGGGGCCGGCCGCCUCCUCACGCUCCCCGGGGCAUCAGCGCAAGUUGCGCGGCGGCAUCUCCGGCCGCUCCGCCGCCGUGCCCCGGCUCCCUCUGUGCCUCUCUCCCCCCGUCUCCGGCUGCCUUGGCGGAGGGGCGAUCAGAGAGCGGGGCGGCUCUGCCGCUCUCUCUCGCUGCGCCUCGCCGCGGUUUUUGGGGCGCCACUGCUCCCCCGCCGCCCGCCGAGCGAUGGCGGGGCGGCCCCGCUGCGCCCAGCCUAGCGCAGCCCGGCCCGGCCCGGCCCGGCCCGGCCCGGCGGCUGCCGGGUCCCCGGGAGGCCAGCGCGGCCCCCCGGCAGCCAAACAGCGGUGGGGGGAGCCGCUGGAGCGGCGGCGGCCCCUCCUCAGCCGCCCUCCUGAGGGGAGCGGGAGCCCUGUGCGUGUGUGUGUGUGAGGGGAGAGGAGGAGAGGAGGCGCCCCCUCGCCUCGCCGCUGCCGGCAGCCCACGGGUCGCAUGCGGCCGGCUCGGCGCUAGAGGGGGUUAGUC